rnacentral:rRNA from 1 species
CCCUUAGAUGUUCUGGGCAGCACGCGCGCUACAAUGGUCUUCGCAAACGGAUGCAUUCUCGAAGGAGAAUGCCAAUCUUGGAAUCUAUGCCUUGGUCGGGACAGUUGAUUGCAAUUUUUCGACUCGAACCAGGAAUUCCUUGUAAUCGUGAUUCAUCACAUCACGAUGAAUACGUCCCUGCCCUUUGUACACACCGCCCGUCGCUCCUACCGAUCGAAGAGUUAGGUGAAUUGUUUUGAUCGAUAAGAUUUGACUAUGGUCAACUCUCGUUGUGAAAUUCUGUGAAUCUGACUGUUUAGAGGAAGGAAAAGUCGUAACA